rnacentral:rRNA from 1 species
CACCGCGGUUAUACGAGAGGCCCAAGUUGACGAACAACCGGCGUAAAGAGUGGUUAAUAGUAACUUAACUAAAGCCGAACACCUCCAAGGCUGUUAUACGCACCCGAAGGCAGGAAGCCCUCCCACGAAAGUGGCUUUAAUAUACUAUGACCCCACGAACGCUAGGACA